AGUUCGGAGGAAGGCAGCGAUUUUUAAAACAUGUGUUGUAUUGCUUUGUGAACCACCUUGGAAGCUUCAACUGAAAGGGGGCCUAGAAAUUAACUAACUAAUUUGUAAGUUUCAGAACUGUUCUUUGGCGCCCUCAUUACUGCCUGCUGAAGCCGUUCCGUCUCCAGCAGUUCUCUACACUGGUCAUGAGCGGAGGCCAUGUGUGUGCCACCGUUGUGCGUGUGCAGCUGGAGAGAGUACCACUAGCAUGCUAUGGCCGCUGGGGAGCAUGCCACCUGAACAGGAAGCCGCAGUCCUCUCUUUCUCUGACGUCUUCAUUACCAGACGGAAACGGCAAGUUGAGCAGGAAGGAGCUUUCCAGGCACAGGAUGGCAGAACAAAUCUCUUGAGCAGUGGAAGAAGAAGAAGAAGAAGAAGAAGAAGAAGAAGAAGAAGAAGAAGAAGAAGAAGAAGAAGAAGAAGAAGAAGAAGAAGAAGAAGAAGAAGAAGAAGAAGAAGGGGGGAAAGCAAAGUUAAGCACCUGGCUCCUCUUAAUUGAAAGGUUGAGUGAAUAAACACCAUUUUUAAAUAGCCUGCAAAAGGUCAGCAGAGAGGUGGCAAUAUGAGAUUCAGCCAGGAAGGCGUUCCACAAGCUGGGAUGGCAACUGAGAAAGCUCUGCCCUCUGUCUUUGCCAGUCUCAUGUUCUGAGGAACUGUAAGAUGAGCAGCUGUUUUCGAGCAGGUGGUCCUUCAGGUACCUGGAGCCUAAACCACUUAGAGCAGGAUUGCACAACUUUGGCCCUUCAGCUGCUGCUGGACUACAGCUCCUAUGAUCAGCAGUCAC